GGAUCUGGCUGUUUUCUCCCAAGGGACGAAAUCUCCUCACCAUGCUCUGGGCUCCCCUCAUCGUCCUACUAGGAACAUGGUGCACAGGUUCCAGCUCCCAGUCUGUGGUGACUCAGCUGCCCUCAGUGUCAGUGUCCCCAGGAAACACCGUGAAACUCUCCUGCACCAUGAGCAGUGGGACCAGCAUCAGUGACUAUGUUGUGUCCUGGUACCAGCAGAAACCUGGGAAUUCUCCACGAUACCUGCUGUAUUACUAUUCGGAUUCCAACAAGGGCCAGGGCUCCGGGGUCCCGGCUCGCUUCUCUGGUUCCAAAGACACGUCCAGUAACACCGGCUAUCUGACCAUCUCUGGGGCCCUGGCAGAGGAUGAAGCUGAUUAUUACUGUGCUAUGUGGAAGAGUGGCACUGCUGUUCUACACAGUGACACAGACAGAUGGGGAAGUGAGACAAAAACACCCUUCGCUCCUCUCCCCCAACCUGGGCCCUGUGUGCAAAGUUCACCCUCUGCACAGUUUUGUCUCUGGCUGUGA